UGAGGGAAAGCUGCAAAGUACUCUGAAGAGAGAGUUCAAAAGGACGUGAAGCCGUCUGCAGGGAAACGGGUGAGACCGCACGGUAGACCCGCGGCGGAUUCAGCUCCGGAGGCRACUUCGGGGUGCACUUCCGCGCCUGCGGGUCGCGCAGGGCCCGACUCGGCGGCCGUCUGAAGCCCGGCGAGGAGGUGACGGGGUUCUUCGGGACUCCGAGUUUAACUCGUCGGCGYGGAGACCGGCCGUUGGGUCGAGGAACGUCCAUCCGUCUUACGACGCGUAGAGYYCGGUCGGCUCGCCGGUUCGACUGGGUUGGRGGCCUUSUUCGCUCGGCUGCUCCCGACUGCCGGUGGGUUCCUUCGGGCCCUUUCGCYGGAUGACCAGGACACCUGCGCUCAGGUCGGCACCUCACCCGACCC
rnacentral:rRNA from 1 species